AGAUCGGUUGCCUAUUGACCCUUGUGGGUUUGUUACUUUCGCAUCGUYCGGUGCAUUUUGGGGGCUGUUUUGGCUUUGGUGCAUGAGUGGUGAUUGGUUUGUUACGUGUGGAUGGCUGUUUGCUCGCGCACCAACGUUCACGCUGCAUACCUCUUCAGUUCUGUGUCAAGACUGGCUUUGUCUUGAGCAUGUUGUGGGUUUCUUGUGUUGCAUACCUAAUUGACGGUAACGUGUGGGUUUUACGGUUUUCUUCUUCGUCAUGCGUCCAUCAUGCGGCGUGGGAUGAACAAUGAAAAGGUCUUUGUGAUCCACAGUGUUGUGCUUGCAACAAUGAUGUGGCUUAUGAAGCAUC
rnacentral:misc_RNA from 1 species